rnacentral:rRNA from 1 species
UACACAUGCAGUCGAACGGUGAAGCAAGCUUGCUUGGUGGAUCAGUGGCGAACGGGUGAGUANACNACGUGAGCAACCUGCCCUGAACUCUGGGAUAAGCGCUGGAAACGGCGUCUAAUACUGGAUAUGAGCUGCGGAGGAAUCUUCGUGGUUGGAAAGAUUUUUCGGUUUGGGAUGGGCUCGCGGCCUAUCAGCUUGUUGGUGAGGUAAUGGCUCACCAAGGCGUCGACGGGUAGCCGGCCUGAGAGGGUGACCGGCCACACUGGGACUGAGACACGGCCCAGACUCCUACGGGAGGCAGCAGUGGGGAAUAUUGCACAAUGGGCGG